rnacentral:rRNA from 1 species
ACGGGAGGCAGCAGUGGGGAAUAUUGCACAAUGGGGGAAACCCUGAUGCAGCGACGCCGCGUGAGUGAAGAAGUAUUUCGGUAUGUAAAGCUCUAUCAGCAAGGAAGAAAAUGACGGUACUUGACUAAGAAGCCCCGGCUAACUACGUGCCAGCAGCCGCGGUAAUACGUAGGGGGCAAGCGUUAUCCGGAUUUACUGGGUGUAAAGGGAGCGUAGACGGCAUAGCAAGUCUGAAGUGAAAUGCAUGGGCUCAACCCAUGAACUGCUUUGGAAACUGUUAAGCUAGAGUGCAGGAGAGGUAAGUGGAAUUCCUAGUGUAGCGGUGAAAUGCGUAGAUAUUAGGAGGAACACCAGAGGCGAAGGCGGCUUACUGGGCUGUAACUGACGUUGAGGCUCGAAAGCGUGGGGAGCAAACAGGAUUAGAUACCCUGGUA